GUCCUCGUGGAGCAAUGCAGCUCACUCCCGCAACAUACGAAGCAGUCGUAGGAAUGGUGUAUACCGGGAGAGCUGGUGGUUCGAAUCCACCCGGGGACA